AGAGUUUGAUCCUGGCUCAGGAUGAACGCUAGCGAUAGGCUUAACACAUGCAAGUCGAGGGGCAGCAUAUAAUCAGCUUGCUGAUUGUGAUGGCGACCGGCGCACGGGUGAGUAACGCGUAUGCAACCUACCUACUACAGGGGAAUAACCCGGAGAAAUUCGGACUAAUACCGCAUAACACAGGGAUGCCGCAUGGCAAUAUUUGUUAAAGAUUUAUCGGUAGUAGAUGGGCAUGCGUUCCAUUAGCUUGUUGGAGAGGUAACGGCUCACCAAGGCAACGAUGGAUAGGGGUUCUGAGAGGAAGGUCCCCCACACUGGUACUGAGACACGGACCAGACUCCUACGGGAGGCAGCAGUGAGGAAUAUUGGUCAAUGGGCGCAAGCCUGAACCAGCCAAAUCGCGUGCAGGAAGACUGCCCUAUGGGUUGUAAACUGCUUUUAUAUGGGAAUAAUGACAAUUACGUGUAAUUGGAGAGAAUGUACCAUAAGAAUAAGCAUCGGCUAACUCCGUGCCAGCAGCCGCGGUAAUACGGAGGAUGCGAGCGUUAUCCGGAUUUAUUGGGUUUAAAGGGUGCGCAGGCGGGCUUUUAAGUCAGCGGUGAAAUUUUCAGGCUCAACCUGAACACUGCCGUUGAAACUGGCAGCCUUGAGUAUAGAUGAAGUAGGCGGAAUUCGUUGUGUAGCGGUGACAUGCUUAGAUAUAACGAGGAACUCCGAUUGCGUAGGCAGCUUACUAAACUAUAACUGACGCUCAAGCACGAAAGCGUGGGGAUCAAACAGGAUUAGAUACCCUGGUAGUNGUCGCUUAACGAUAAAAUUGCCAUUGAAACUGGUCAGCUUGAGUGUAAAUGAAGUAGGCGGAAUGCGUAGUGUAGCGGUGAAAUGCAUAGAGAUUACGCAGAACUCCAAUUGCGAAGGCAGCUUACUAAGCUACAACU
rnacentral:rRNA from 1 species